rnacentral:rRNA from 1 species
AUUGAACGCUGGCGGCAGGCCUAACACAUGCAAGUCGAGCGGAUGAGUGGAGCUUGCUCCAUGAUUCAGCGGCGGACGGGUGAGUAAUGCCUAGGAAUCUGCCUGGUAGUGGGGGACAACGUUCCGAAAGGAACGCUAAUACCGCAUACGUCCUACGGGAGAAAGUGGGGGAUCUUCGGACCUCACGCUAUCAGAUGAGCCUAGGUCGGAUUAGCUAGUUGGUGAGGUAAAGGCUCACCAAGGCGACGAUCCGUAACUGGUCUGAGAGGAUGAUCAGUCACACUGGAACUGAGACACGGUCCAGACUCCUACGGGAGGCAGCAGUGGGGAAUAUUGGACAAUGGGCGAAAGCCUGAUCCAGCCAUGCCGCGUGUGUGAAGAAGGUCUUCGGAUUGUAAAGCACUUUAAGUUGGGAGGAAUGGCAGUAAGUUAAUACCUUGCUGUUUUGACGUUACCAACAGAAUAAGCACCGGCUAACUUCGUGCCAGCAGCCGCAGUAAGAC